rnacentral:tRNA from 1 species
AGCCCUGAGGUGUCAUCACGUUAGAUUGCAAAUCUAAAGAAGCAGGUUAACGCUUGCCGGGGCUU